rnacentral:rRNA from 1 species
UACGUAGGGGGCAAGCGUUGUCCGGAUUUAUUGGGCGUAAAGAGCGUGUAGGCGGUUAGGUAGGUCCGUUGUGAAAACUCGAGGCUCAACCUCGAGACGCCGAUGGAAACCAUCUAACUAGAGUCCGGAAGAGGAGAGUGGAAUUCCUGGUGUAGCGGUGAAAUGCGUAGAGAUCCGGAAGAACACCGGUGGCGAAGGCGGCCUGCUGGGCAGUAGCUGACGCUGAGGCGCGACAGCGUGGGGAGCAAACAGG